rnacentral:rRNA from 1 species
UCGUGAGGAGAGGGUAAAGGAAAAAGAGGGCGUGAGUGAAAGACAUACAGGUCGAGCAAGGAUGAAAAUCGGACUUAGUGAGCCGGUGGGUCUGCGUGGAAGGGCCAUCGCUCAACGGAUAAAAGCUACCCUGGGGAUAACAGGCUUAUCUCCCCCAAGAGUCCACAUCGACGGGGAGGUUUGGCACCUCGAUGUCGGCUCAUCACAUCCUGGGGCUGUAGUAGGUCCCAAGGGUUGGGCUGUUCGCCCAUUAAAGUGGUACGCGAGCUGGGUUCAGAACGUCGUGA